rnacentral:rRNA from 1 species
UACGAAGGGUGCAAGCGUUACUCGGAAUUACUGGGCGUAAAGCGUGCGUAGGUGGUUUGUUAAGUCUGUUGUGAAAGCCCCGGGCUCAACCUGGGAAUGGCAAUGGAUACUGGCAGGCUAGAGUGCGGUAGAGGGUAGUGGAAUUCCCGGUGUAGCGGUGAAAUUCGUAGAUAUCGGGAGGAACACCAGUGGCGAAGGCGGCGAUCUGGGAAGAUACUGACGCUGAGGUGCGAAAGCGUGGGGAGCAAACAGG